UGCCCAGCAACUCCUAUCCCUACCUCCACGUGGCACCGAUCGAGCUGCGAGCAAACUUAAGAAACAUCGGGUGGGAGAUUCUGUCGUACGCUGACAGAGAAGG
rnacentral:ribozyme from 1 species